rnacentral:rRNA from 1 species
CCAAUAGCGUAUAUUAAAGUUGUUGCAGUUAAAAAGCUCGUAGUUGAAUUUCGGGAUCAGUUGAUCGGUCGUGCCUCGGUACGUACUGGUCAAAUUGAUUCCUACCUUCUGACGAACCACGAUGUCAUUAAUUUGGUGUCGCGGGAAAUCAGGACUGUUACUUUGAAAAAAUUAGAGUGUUUAAAGCAGGCUCGCGCUUGAAUACAUUAGCAUGGAAUAAUGAAAUAGGACGUUUGAUUCUAUUUUGUUGGUCUCUAGGAUCGACGUAAUGAUUAAUAGGGAUAGUUGGGGGCAUUAGUAUUCAAUUGUCAGAGGUGAAAUUCUUGGAUUUAUUGAAGACUAACCACUGCGAAAGCAUUUGCCAAGGAUGUUUUCAUUAAUCAAGAACGAAAGUUAGGGGAUCGAAGACGAUCAGAUACCGUCGUAGUCUUAACCAUAAACUAUGCCGACUAGGGAUCGGAUGAUGUUAAUUUUUUAAUGACUCAUUCGGCGCCUUACG